UGUAUCUUUAGAAAUCAACUCCCUUUUGGGGUUAAAACGGGGGAUGGUAGGUUGACUCAUUCAUUACGAAAUCUCCGAAACUAGACCAGCUACAAAUUCGAAAUUUGGCAGGUAGGUUUCUUAUAGGGCGUAAACAUCCGCUAAGAACGGAUUUAACGAAACUCGACCCCUAAGGGGAUAAAAUGGGGGUUGGAAGUUUGUAUGAAAGUCCUAUAUUUUUGAAGUGAGAGACUUGAAAUUUAAAAUGUAUGCUCUAUAGAUAGUGAGGAGGUGUCCAAAUAAUGUAUCUUUAGAAAUCAAUUCCCUUUUGGAGUUAAAACGGG
rnacentral:misc_RNA from 1 species